rnacentral:rRNA from 1 species
UACGUAGGCAGCGAGCGUUGUUCGGAAUUACUGGGCGUAAAGAGUGUGUAGGCGGUGCUCUAAGUUCGGUGUGAAAUCUCCUGCUUAACUGGGAGGGUGCGCCGGAAACUGGAGUGCUCGAGCGUGGGAGAGGAAAGCGGAAUUCCUGGUGUAGCGGUGAAAUGCGUAGAUAUCAGGAGGAACACCUGUGGUGUAGACGGCUUUCUGGACCAUUGCUGACGCUGAGACACGAAAGCGUGGGUAGCAAACAGG